rnacentral:lncRNA from 1 species
GUUCACGGUGAUUUAUAUGCUACUCAUGCUUGCACUCAAUGUUGGUUAGUCUAAAAGCAUGUUUAUGACGGUUGUCCCUCUCUAGUUGGUCGCCUCCCAGUCUCUUGCUAGCCUCCACUUGUACUAAGCGAGAAUACUGCUUGUGCAUCCAUCCCCAUAAACCCAAAGUUGUUCCAUAUGAGUCCACCAGACCUACCUAUAUGCGGUAUUCACCUGCCGUCCCAAGUAAAAUUGCAUGUGCCAUACUCUAAACCUUCAAAUAAAUAUCCUGUUUUGUAUGCCUGAAUCGCUCAUGUGGUGACUAGGCGCUAUCAGUAUCUUCCAUGCUAGGUGGGUUAUUCUCAAGAUAUGUGAUGAUUCAAAAUCAUUCACGAGAAAGUGGCUGGUAAUUGGGAUGCUGAGUUCCAUGCUCAAAAGUGAAAACAAAUUUAAUGAAACAAAACUCCCCCAGGAUUGAUGUUUGUAUGGAUGGUACCCGUGGAUGCGCCCCCCCGUGGAAAGUGAUUGAUUGGUGGAGGAGUAUUAAAAACUUUACUACUCAGUUUGGGAACCGCCUAUAAUGUAUUUAGCAUGGAAGAUAUUGAGAACUCUUAGUUGUUACAUUGACAAUGAAAGCAUACCACCCAAAUUUUUGAUUCAUCCAUGUUUUAAAAGCUCGAGCUCUGGCACCUCUGCAAAUAAAUGAUUCGCUCUGCGAACGACCUAUCUACUUUACUUUAUUGUUGAGUCAUCCUCUUCUUAUAAAAAGGCACCAGUUAGAGAGCACCCCAUCAUUUGUAUGCUUUGCUAUUAAGUGAUGUUGAGUAUGAGUAUGACUGGAUCUCUUUUACCAUGAAUUACAAUGUCUCAUCAGUCCUUGUUCUAUGGAGGUGCUCUGCAUUUAUGUUUUGCGGUCUCGGAAAGGGCUAGCGAGAUACUAGUUUAUCAUAUUGUAUUAUGAUUAUUUUGAUUAAAUUGUUGUCACCUGAGACUUAUUAUUAUUGCUC